UACGUAGGGGGCAAGCGUUGUCCGGAUUUAUUGGGCGUAAAGAGCGUGUAGGCGGCUUUACAGGUCCGUUGUGAAAACUCGAGGCUCAACCUCGAGACGCCGGUGGAAACCGUAAGGCUAGAGUCCGGAAGAGGAGAGUGGAAUUCCUGGUGUAGCGGUGAAAUGCGCAGAUAUCAGGAAGAACACCCGUGGCGAAGGCGGCUCUCUGGGACGGUACUGACGCUGAGGUACGAAAGCUAGGGUAGCGAACGGG
rnacentral:rRNA from 1 species